rnacentral:rRNA from 1 species
GUUCCAUGUGAACGGCACUUGCACAUGGGUUAGUCGAUCCUAAGGGACGGGGGAAGCCCGUCUGAUAGCGCUCCGAGCGCGUACUCCGAAAGGGAAUCGGGUUAAAAUUCCUGAACCGGGACGUGGCGGCUGACGGCAACGUUAGGGAGNN